AAUGAAAUGCCUGAUAAAAGGAUUAUUUUGAUAGAAUAAAUCAUGUAUUGAACUAUACUUUCAUUA
rnacentral:tRNA from 1 species